UACAGAGGUCUCAACCGUUGUUCGGAUUCACUGGGCGUAAAGGGUGCGUAGGUGGCCAGGUAAGUUUGAUGUGAAAGCUCGGAGCUUAACUCCGAAAUGGCAUUGAAUACUAUCUGGCUUGAGGGUCGGAGGGGAGACUGGAAUUCUCGGUGUAGCAGUGAAAUGCGUAGAUAUCGAGAGGAACACCAGUGGCGAAGGCGAGUCUCUGGACGACACCUGACACUGAGGCACGAAAGCUAGGGGAGCAAACAGG
rnacentral:rRNA from 1 species